AUUACCCUUAAACGUUCGCUACAAGUAAUUAAGAGCAUGCAAACGCAACAGAGUGCACAACCGGAACGAAACCAGCUCUUCAGAUACAAUAUUUAACGAGAUUGGUGAAUUGCAUAUCUAACUCUUAGAAGGCGCUUCGUGUAUCUAUGAUUUCGAAUCAAGUUUCGUUACUCCACAAUUCAUAUAUCGCAUAGUUGCCUAUCCUAAAAAUAUGCAAGUAGGUAUAGCUGAUUUUUUUUUUUUUUUAAAUUUCGACAGGUUAAAAAAUUGUAGCAAAAGAAAACCCCAUUUCUAAAAAAUUAUUCGAGUAAAUGUGAAAAAUAAGUGCGUAAAAAACAACAUCAAAUACACGACGCCGACACUCGGUUAAUUUUUUUAAAAACACUAUAAAAUCCCAUUCGAGAUAAUAAUUCAGGUAGGUAAUGAGUUAAUUAACGACAAACAUGUCCACCUCAUCCAACCAACGAUUCUAUUUUAAAUUCGCACAGAAAUAACACCGAAUUGAAUUCUUGUCGAAAAAUUUUUGAAAAUGAAUUCAAAACUAAUAUUAUUUUUGUUUUUCGUGUUUGCCAUGAUAAUAGCCUUCAGUGAUGUAAACUGCGAAAGCUUAGACCCAGAGCAAUUUUAUUUUACAGAUGGAGCGUCCGGAGAUUCGUCUUAUUUUCAAAAUAUAGAGAGAAGAAUAAUUGGAGACGAAUACUACCCGCUGACUCCGAAAUACCUAAAAAUGCUAGCCAAAUGGGUUCUACUCAAGAAAAAGAUGCAAUUGGCAAAUCCUGAUUUCGCCUCAAAAGCGAUUAAAACUGAGUCACGUUCGGUGGUAUAGAAUGUACUUUGCAAGUUUAGGCACCUUCUUACAAAAAAAAAAAUCCGAUAGAAAUAUUGUAUAAAUAAAGUAGGUAAUAAAUGCUUAAUAAAUCUUUAAA